AGAUUGAGAGUCCGUCCUUUCUGCACAAUUUCCAUGCUGGUUAUUUCAUAGCAAAGUAAAUACAGUGGUCAGGAUGAUGACUGACACCUGAUCCAAGACAAUGGGACCCUUCUGAACUCUGCUGUCUUUGAACAACACAUGAAAUACGAAGGAAACUAUUUACCAGCCAGUAAUUGCAAGCCACCCCUCAUGUAAAGUUUGCAAUGCCUCACUUAUGCCAAACUCCUAUCUCCAAAUCAGAAGAUUAAACGGCAACGGCAGCUCAGAUCCUCAGCAUCUUACGCGCAUACCUACAAAGGCUCC
ensembl:lncRNA